GAAAGAUGGCUUUGGCUAUCACUCUGGGAUGGACCUGCGGUGCAUUAGCUAGUUGGUAAGGUAACGGCUUACCAAGGCGAUGAUGCAUAGCCGAGUUGAGAGACUGAUCGGCCACAAUGGAACUGAGACACGGUCCAUACUCCUACGGGAGGCAGCAGUAGGGAAUCUUCCACAAUGGGCGCAAGCCUGAUGGAGCAACACCGCGUGAGUGAAGAAGGGUUUCGGCUCGUAAAGCUCUGUUGUUGGAGAAGAACGUGCGUGAGAGUAACUGUUCACGCAGUGACGGUAUCCAACCAGAAAGUCACGGCUAACUACGUGCCAGCAGCCGCGGUAAUACGUAGGUGGCAAGCGUUAUCCGGAUUUAUUGGGCGUAAAGCGAGCGCAGGCGGUUGCUUGGGUCUGAUGUGAAAGCCUUCGGCUUAACCGAAGAAGUGCAUCGGAAACCGGGCGACUUGAGUGCAGAAGAGGACAGUGGAACUCCAUGUGUAGCGGUGGAAUGCGUAGAUAUAUGGAAGAACACCAGUGGCGAAGGCGGCUGUCUGGUCUGCAACUGACGCUGAGGCUCGAAAGCAUGGGUAGCGAACAGGAUUAGAUACCCUGGUAGUCCAUGCCGUAAACGAUGAGUGCUAGGUGUUGGAGGGUUUCCGCC
rnacentral:rRNA from 1 species